UACAAGGGUGGGAACACAGCGUCAGAAGGGUUUUCCCAGCAAAAGUGGGAGAAAUGAGGAACAGAGGGAAAACCUUCCCUUGCUCUCCAACGGAUUUGUGUCCACAUUCCCUCACCGGGUUUCCUUUGGCCCUCUAGAACAUGAAUGGUGAAAUUGCCUGGGAAUAAUACAAACAGUGUUUGCCUGAGAAACGCAAAAGAAAACUCAGCACUAGGCUUGCGGGGUGAGAGGUCUCCGUGUUCAGAGCACAAGAGGACUUGGAAGAAUGAGCUAUCGGACGAGUAGCUUUCGAGGUGGGAGUAGGAGAGUUCAGGGAAGUUUCAUGACUUGAGAAGUGACGAUGAGAAGUAGACACGGAAGGAAGCGCCAGGAGCUCAGAAGUGGGUGUGGACCUAACUCUGUCACACUACAGUAUGAGAAACGCCACAUCGCUUUAUUUUUCUAAAUGAAAUGAACGCAUCCUUCCCCACUCAAAAAGGUUGCGAAAUGCGUAACUCACUUCCGGAAGAUGGUCAUCACCGAGUGUCGAAAAACGCCUUGCGCUUCAAGGGUUAACCUGUAAACAGGAAGAAUGUCUCUGUGAACAAGAUAUAGUGAUCCAAUUGGAAUGAGCCAAGGAAAGGAAGAAGCUUAAACGUGACUGGCUGCCAUGUGCUUCUUCUCUUUGCCUUCCCAUAAGAUGGAACACAGCUACAUGGCUCAGCCAGCUUCAAUCACUCAGAUAAGGACCAUAAUCUAGGAACUGGAGAAGCAAAAAAAAAAAAAAAAAAA